UACGUAGGGUGCAAGCGUUGUCCGGAUUUAUUGGGCGUAAAGAGCGUGUAGGCGGCCAUACAGGUCCGUUGUGAAAACUGGAGGCUUAACCUCCAGACGUCGAUGGAAACCGUCGAGCGCUAGAGUCCGGAAGAGGAGAGUGGAAUUCCUGGUGUAGCGGUGAAAUGCGCAGAUAUCAGGAAGAACACCCAGUGGCGAAGGCGGCUCUCUGGGACGGUACUGACGCUGAGACGCGAAAGCGUGGGGAGCGAACAGG
rnacentral:rRNA from 1 species